rnacentral:tRNA from 1 species
GAUCUCGUGGCUCUCCGGGCGGGGAGGCGCGCCCGCGCGACGGGUGCGCGGUCCGGUUCGACUCCGGGCGGGAUCGC